rnacentral:lncRNA from 1 species
UGGCUAGUUCCUCAGAUCUCACAGUCCAAUAUUAAUUUUCCUCACGUUUCGUUUGAAAUUUGAAUGGUACACAUCACUCUCCGUUUACAAGUCAACAAAACUUACUAAGGUUGCCAUAUGGACCAAAUCCAUGCUGCAUAUAAAUAGUUGGCAUAAACCGUCCUUAUUUUCCAUCUCAACAAACAAAAACAAGCAUCUCAUUCCCACUACAUAUAUCUUUCUCCCCCCUCUCUCCCGGCACGAUCCCAAACCAAAUCAAACCAAACAUACUCGAUAUUAUGGCCAGAUCACGUAUGAGUUUCGGGUUUGUUUUUCUAGCAUUAGUACUUAUAACAAGCACUGCUGUACAUGUCACAAAUGCACGCCCGAAUCCGGUGAAGGUGGACUCGGCCGCAAGUGUCGAAGUGGGAGGUUUCUUCGACGGAUUAGCUCUUGGUAGCAUGAAGCAGUCAGGGGGUUCUAGUUCUGGUGCAGGACAUAAAUAUAGCGUUAGUUCUCAAACUCUCGGAGGAAUUAAAGACUCAGGGCCAAGUCCAGGGGCGGGACACAGUUACGUUACAGACACAAAGAAUUAGAACUCCACUGGUCAAUUGUCAAUUGGCUGCUAUAUAUAUUAUUUCAUUGUUUCAUCACUUUCGUUUUUAUUUAGUAGUAUUAUAUAUACUUUAUAUACUUCAAUUGUAUUAGAGUACUAGGUGAUGGAAUACUUUGCAAAUUGCCACCAUUCAUUUACAUGGUUGCAUGUAUGAAACUAUGAACGAUUUUUCUAUGGUGUGCUCAUGGGCACACAUUAAGCACUAACUCUUAUUAGUUUGGUGCAUUUUUAUUGGUUAUCUAAUCAUAAAUAAGGAUGGCCCCCCUGCAUAUGCAUUAAGUCCACCAAUCAAAAUUCACCAAAUUUAUCAAAUUUAGUGCUUAAUGUGGCACACACUAGAAAGACCCAACUAUGAAUGCAUAUGGAUACAACUGCUCGACUCUGAAUUUGUUGGUGCAGUCUUUCGGAACAUCACGUGAAGCAUAUUAACGGGGAUUCUGUCUCCGACUUUGGCGCACAUUAAGUCUUGACUUGUGAAUUUAGACAAAAUAAUUAAGUUGCGAAAAAAACACUCGUGCUUAACAUUAUACGGCUUAACAAAAUAGAAACAAAAUAAUGAAACAACAACAAUAAUAAUAUAUAAAAAUUAUUCGCACUAGAUAUCCUACAUUAUAUGCACCUAUGUCCCAACAGAUUUUUAUUUUAUUUUUGAUACACAUUUUAAAACUCUCAUAAAAUAUAUAGUUUUAUAAUAUUUUAAAAAAUAUUUGAUUCUUAAAUUUUUAUUAAAAAAAAUAUUAAACAAUUAUAGAAGAUUCAAAAUACGUGAAAAAACAGACGUGGACUAAUUAUUUGUAUGCGGAUAUUAAUAAGACAUGUGAUUAUAAUGAUAUUGAUAAUUAAGAAAGUUUUUGAACUGGACCAAAAUUCUUGUCCUUUUUAAUAGCUACUAUUACCUGUUUUACGAAAAUUGCUCAAAAUUAUUAUAUCACGGAUACAGGUGUUUCUUAUAUCCAUUUUCUUCAUAGUUUUAUUCACUUAUCACGUAUGUUUUUAUAUUUAUUAAUUAAUUAAUUGUUAUAUUUAUUUACAGAUACGAGACCAGUUAUAAUUAUUUCAGAAUAUAUUUAUGAAUUAUACGGGAGAAAAUAUAUUAUCAUCGC